UUGUAGUCUUGAGGAAACAUGACAUCCGAUUUGGACAAAAGCGGUUUUUACAAAAAACAGACGCGACCAUAUGGUUCUGGUAUCAAGAGUUAUACAGAUAAGUAAAUCUUCAUACACCACAGUGUUUGCUAUGCGCAGCUCGGGACGCGCACCUCUGAUAUUGAUUUUAUCUAAAAUGAGUAGAAGCGCAUCAUGGUUUCAGCCUUUUCGAUCCUGGACGCAGAGCGUGACGCCACUGCAGCCUGAAUAUAAUAUGAAGAUUUAAGCCUCGUGUCUUGAAGAUGAUGACCUCAUUAAAUGUAUUUAAAAGCGCACAAACCAAUGUCGUAAAAUUCACAGAUGAAUCGUGAUGAACCGUGAAAGAAAAAUCACAAAGGUGUCGCAUAAUGUGAAUACAAUGCCGGCUGAUUAUCCUCUUGAGCAUUGGGAGAGCAACUGAAUAGAAAAUGCCAACAAAACACUGAAGCGAACUACGAUUUUUUUAUUUACCCUUACUGUUUUCUAGUAUUAUGAAAUUGAAACUUUAUAGUGCUGUGCCAGUUUUGGCUUAAAAUUGAAUUACUUUCAUGGGUGCAGUAAUGGUAAAGCAAAUAAGAUACCAUUGGACGCGCUUUCUUAACAGUAAUAUGUAAAGGAGCGUGUACCUGGACGUCUUUGGACGAAACUGAGUGGAAAACUGGAUGGAAAUAAUGCAAAUAAUUGAGUGCUGCGCUGUGUCCGGCUACAAAGAAUAAAACAGCCCCAACUCAUUCCGCGGGCGUCGUAAAAAGCGACUGAGGAAUUUAAGCCAGAUUCGAUCCUAAAAUCCACAACCUAAGCACAAUAUACAGUUAAUGACUUGAAAACUAUAAUUAUUGUAUGUCUCACUGGACGUACAAGAGCCUAGGUCAUAAUUCUUUGUAUCUUAGCCUUGAGACGAUUGAAUUGUAGACGUGGUUGCAGACGCAAUGGAAUGACGCACAUUGGUAUUUUUUUCACGGGCACUAUGAAGAAGCAUUCUCCGAGAACCAUUCACAAUGUAACAAAUCUCAGAUGUUGUACCAAGAACGAAAAUCUGCCCGUGUUUAGUAUGAGGUCAAUGUAUGUAGAUUGUUACUAUGUAUUAUUUGUGAAAGAAUAUUGUUGUCGGUUUCAAAUAGUUUAACAAAAUUAUUUUCCUUGCAAAUUUCCGAUUUUAGUUGUUUAGUUAUAUGACGCGCGCGUUAUAUAAUUUUAGUGAAGUUUGAUUUCGUUUUAGCCUCUACGAGUAUCUGAAUCACUAUUCGUACAAUUCAAGGAGAACGCGAAAUGUACUCACGGCGUGACAUUGUUAAUGUUUACGUAAUUUUAAUGGUGUUGAUGUUACAAAUGAAAACAUUACGUUAGCUUUGAUGUUACUGUGUUCUUCUUGAUAUUAUUCAUACUAUUUUAAAUUUACAACGCUCUUUCCUUCGGUCUGUAUCCGACUUAAUUUUUUUUUUCUCAAGCGUUGUCGUUUGAUUUGGACUUUCUACAUUACAAAUGUUACUUCGUGUUUGUAUUUUAAGCUCCUUUAGUUAGGGGUGUAAGUGGCUCUACCUAGAUCUUCUGAGUCAAAGUCAACCUCUCCUGCUCGCGGCGCACCCUGCCGAUCAACGAACGAGGCUCUGGCGGAGACGUGGUCGCGUGUUGGUACGAGCACAGAUGCUAGACAGAUAUAAGCCGACAAGAUUAUGUAAUUCCAACAUUGGCAACAUCUGGAUCGCGACCAUGUUACAAACUGUUUACACACAAUAUUGUCUAUGUUUUUUGUUUGUUUCCCUCUAUUUAAAAUUAACAUUUUCUUCUGCAUUUAAUCUCGUAACGACAUGCAAAAGUAAUUUAAUCGAUCAAGGUGUAUUAAGGAUUUCAAUUAUAGGCACAGAUAUAUUAGAAAAGUGUGCGUUUCAAAUACUCAAUAGUUGCUAAGUAUUCAUGAAUAUUACCGCUUAUAAAUUUAAUCGAACGUAUUUAAUCUUGGUAUUGAAGUAGUAUUUCAUAGAAUUAGGAAUUAAUAUAUUCAGUGAAACAUUCUCAAAUCUAUUCAAGUUAUCUUGAAUUGAAUUCGAUGUGCGCGUGUGUUUUAAUCUAAUACUAAUAAAAAUGAUGUGUAGUGGU